CGCCUGUAGAGGAUGG
rnacentral:misc_RNA from 1 species